UUUUGAAUAUGAUUAAAUGCACCAGAUCUCACCAGAUCUUGGAAGCUAACCAGAGUCAGUCCUGGUUAGUUCUUGGGUGGGAGACUGUCAAUGAAUACCUGGCACUGCAGACU
rnacentral:rRNA from 11 species